CUCUCAGUCACUGGUUCUGAACUGAUCUGGUGGACAGGACGAAGUUCUCCUGGAACACUUCAUAUUACUUGUUACUACGCUUUGGAUAACUCUGUUCGUACUCCUUCUCCUCACUCUCUCCCAGCUCCAGUCUCAGUGCGGUAUCAGAAACCGAGACUAACCGUCAGUCAUGAUGGUCAGUUUGAUGUAUUCAGAUUUGUGUGUGAAAUAUCAGGGUCAGAGUCAGUAACUGCUGAUUUUAGCUGUAAUCUCUACACUGGAGAAAAUCCUCAGUUUUUCCUAAACCGAACAUCUCAAAAGAGAAAAUCUCUGAAGGUUUGUAGUUUUACAGCACAGAGAGACGCUGUGUUUAAUCGUCUGCAGUCAGUAAAGAGUCGUGAAGUGAGCUGUGAUUAUUCACUGAUCUCUGACCCGACUGCUCGCUCUCUAAUGAGUGAUAAACACAACAUGAUGC
ensembl:lncRNA